GACGCAUAGCUCAGUUGGUAGAGCAGCUGACUCUUAAUCAGCGGGUCCUUGGUUCGAGCCCA
rnacentral:tRNA from 2 species